UACGUAGGCAGCAAGCGUUGUUCGGAGUUACUGGGCGUAAAGGGUGUGUAGGUGGCCUGUUAAGUUCCGUGUGAAAUCUCCCGGCUCAACCGGGAGGGUGCGCGGAAAACUGGCGGGCUAGAGUACGGGAUGGGAGAGUAGAAUUCCUGGUGUAGCGGUGAAAUGCGUAGAUAUCAGGAGGAAUACCGGUGGUGUAGACGGCUCUCUGGACCGUAACUGACACUGAGGCACGAAAGCGUGGGGAGCAAACAGG
rnacentral:rRNA from 1 species